rnacentral:lncRNA from 1 species
CUUCAGCUGGAGCAUAAAAACUGUGCUGAGCCACCAAAAUGGGAAAAAGUAAACGUUGAAAUAGAGGGACAUCUGUAGUGGUAAACUGGAAAGUAUUUCAUUAUCUGCGCGCUCGCUGGGGUACUGCGGGCCGGCGCGGCGGCUGUCUGUGAAAACGGUGCGGCUGAAGGAGCCCAGUCGGCGCCGCAGAGGCUCGGGCAGCGACAUGCCGCGGGCCGCUGUCGGCCUGGAGACGGGGCGGGGGCGCGCAGGCGCGGUGGAAGACGUGGAGCUCCGCCAGAAGUGCCGGGGCGAAGCGCAGUGCGGGGCUGAUUCCUUCUGGGAAGGAGGGAUGCGUGCAGGAAAUUGCGCUCCGCACCGCCAGAAUGAAGGAGCAGCUCGUGCCCUGCACUACAAGGAGUGAUAACAGCAGUGGUUUCACUGCGCCUAAUGUGACACGUCAGUUCCCAUCUCCCAAAUCCCCCCCAUUUCCUCUCUCCUUUCCCAAAAUCGCAUUUUGCUACUUUCCCGGGUGAUCAUUCUCCAGUAUGACUUUCCAAACUCAAUUACCUCUGAAUAAUUUAAAGCCUAGUUUAAAUUUAAUUUCUUUCUAUCCCACUGGGAAAACUGCAGAAAGAGACGGCCGAUAAAGCUCGAGUUCUGAGAAAUCCAUUUGGCUUAUGGGCAGGCGGACGGGUGCUGUGUGACUGCAGACAUUUUUCAUACAGUUCUGCAAGCAGAUGUGGCAGCAGGAAUCGGCACCAAGCCUUCCCCCCCCAAAUACAAACCAACCAACCAACCGCAAAACCCAAGCAAACCAACCUGAAGACCUUCAGAAGAGAUGAGGAGGAAGGGAUUUUCAAAUGGCAAGAGAUUGGAAGGGAGAAGGUAUUAUAGAUACCUCUUAAUUUCAAGGGGUGCUGUGCAUGUCCCCUUAUAGGCGGGGAAGGCAACAAGCUUUACUGCGUGAGUGCUCUUAAUAAGAUAAAUCUUAAGGUGCGGCUGAGGCUUAUUCCUAUUUCGUAGGUUAAACAGGUGAGGUUUAAUCCUGAGAAAUGUUCUUUGCGGUUUCUGUUGCAACCCACAGGAAAGGGUACAUCAUUCAGCAGAGGUCCUGGAGCCAAGGAG